rnacentral:lncRNA from 1 species
GUAAAAUCUUGGAAUUUUAUUAAUGACACGGAGGCUCAUAUUAUGCUAGUUCAAAGCUUGGCCACUACUUGAAGUGAGAUAUGUUCUAUUGGCCGAAAAUAGAAUUCUCUGAACGUCGAUACUUGCGACCAAUCUGCCGCCUUUAAUAUGUCCUCGAGGCGACAGCCAAUCGUUGAGGCUUUGGAUGCCAUUGCGCCUCUCACCGAGUGUGCAGAGAAUUUCGAGGUGUCAAUUCCUGUUAGUGCUAACAGGUUCUUGACCCAACGAGCUAACGUGGGUGUGGACACUGGUAGAAAGGGGGUUCGAAAAGAUAUGAAUAGUUGACUUGAUUCGGGUGAGCGUAAUUUCUGAGUACAAUCCAGGUAGGACCGAAGGCAUCUAACCGGGCAUAAUGAAGGGUGUCCUGGAUAUCUCGGGUAAGAGAUAGAUUUUGUAUUGCCUUUAGUUCUUCUCGAUAUGGAGAAUGAUACUCCCUCUGGGGUGAAUGACAAUGCGUCCCAGUCCAAGGCUUGCACGUCCGAUAUCCUCUUGCAGGACAGUAGGCAUAAAAGAGUCAGCAGUUUCCAAGACAGGUGUUUAAGGGAGAGUUCCUCAUUUGGCGUCCAUUCCUCCAGGAAGUGUAAGGCAAUGUUGACAUCCCAGAAUGAAGAAUAGCGGGUUUGUUUCUCAAAGCGUAUCCCCUUCAGGAGUCUACAAACGAAGGGGUGUUGUCCAAUCGGGGAGCCCUCUAGAUCUCCGUGUCCUGCCGAGAUCGCCGACCUGUACAUGUUAAUGGUACGGUACGCUUUUCCUUCUUCGAAAAGGGACGUCAAAAACUCUAGUACUUCUUUCAGAGAUGCUGAAACUGGAUCCACUGACUGUUCCAUGCACCAGCUAGCCCACACUCGCCAUGCGGAGUUGUAGGCCGCUCUGGUCCCUGGAGCCCAAGAGUUGUCCAUGAGUCUUGUAACCGUCUGUGAGAUGUCUUUGAAUGUCCAGGGACUCCGGAAAUCAACCGUGAGUUGAAGCAGGCCCCGAUUGAUUAGAUUGUGCGGGUUCCCCUCCGGGUCCAAUAGCAAGUCUGGUCUCGAUGGUAUUAUUCGUGGAGAGUCGAUUGCCAUCUCUAGUAGUCGAGGAAACCACGGCUGAGCGUGCCAUAGUGGAACCACUAUCACUAGUGAACAGUCCUGUUUGCAUAGGUAUGAUAGUGUCCUGGAUAUGAGAUUGAAAGGGGGAAAUGCGUAAUGCCGAGACUUCGGCCAUUUCUGUAGGAAAGCAUCCGUCCCCAAGGCUGUUGGAUCUGGUCGCCAGCUGAAGUAUCGUGGCAGGUGACUGUUCAGUCUGGAUGCAAAGAGGUCUAUGUCUAGUGGUCCCCAUAUUUUGUCUAUCUGGCGAAAGGUAGAGCGGAGAAGAUGCCAGUCUCCCGGAUCUCGCAGAUAUCUGGAAUUCCAGUCUGCUUGUACAUUGUCUAAGCCCAGAAUGUGUUCGUCUGUCACCGCAAUCUCGUUGUGAAGGCAAAAUUGCCAAAAUUCCUUCGCUAGGUUUGCUAGUUGUUUGGAUUUGGUGCCCCCUAGAUGACUGAUAUAACAGACUGCCGAGAUGUUGUCCAUAUGGAGCAGUAUACAACAUCUCCCUACCGUAGGGGAGAGACUGCGGAUGGCGAAUGAUCCUGCCAGAAGCUCCAGGCAAUUUAUGUGUAGUUUGAAUUCUUCCAUGGACCAUCUGCCACCGGUGGAUAUGUUGCCACAACGUGCGCCCCAGCCAUGUAGGCUUGCAUCCGAUUCUAUAAUCAGGU